UACGGAGGGUGCGAGCGUUGUCCGGAAUCACUGGGCGUAAAGGGCGCGUAGGCGGCCUGAUAAGUCGGGGGUGAAAUCCUGCGGCUUAACCGCAGGGCUGCCUUCUAAACUGUCAGGCUAGAGCACGGUAGAGGCAGAUGGAAUUCCCGGUGUAGCGGUGGAAUGCGUAGAGAUCGGGAAGAACAUCAGUGGCGAAGGCGGUCUGCUGGGCCGUUGCUGACGCUGAGGCGCGACAGCGUGGGGAGCAAACAGG
rnacentral:rRNA from 1 species